rnacentral:rRNA from 1 species
UACGUAGGGGCCGAGCGUUGUCCGGAGUUAUUGGGCGUAAAGCGCGCGCAGGCGGCCUCGCGCGCCCGACGUGAAAGCCCCCGGCUUAACCGGGGAGGGUCGUUGGGGACGGCGGGGCUUGAGGGCGGGAGAGGUCGGUGGAAUUCCCGGUGUAGCAGUGAAAUGCGUAGAGAUGUGGAGGAACACCGAUGGCGAAGGCAGCCCCCUGGGUCAAGAUUGACGCUCAUGCACGAAAGCGUGGGGAGCAAACAGG